rnacentral:rRNA from 1 species
UACGAAGGGGGCUAGCGUUGCUCGGAAUGACUGGGCGUAAAGGGCGCGUAGGCGGAUGGCACAGUCAGAUGUGAGAUUCCCGGGCUUAACCUGGGGGCUGCAUUUGAUACGUGUGAUCUGGAGUGAGGAAGAGGGUCGUGGAAUUCCCAGUGUAGAGGUGAAAUUCGUAGAUAUUGGGAAGAACACCGGUGGCGAAGGCGGCGACCUGGUCCUUUACUGACGCUGAGGCGCGAAAGCGUGGGGAGCAAACAGG